CGGAGCCACCGAGAGGAGGAUGAGUCCCUGGAGCUGGUUCCUGCUGCCGACCCUCCGCCUCCUGCCCGCGAGCGCAGCCCCUCCGCACGGCGCGCCCGCCUCCGCCAACUGCAAGCACAAGCCCCAAGUUACAGAGCGCGUUCGUGGAGAGAGAGACCAGGUCUGACAGCCUAGCGUUCACGCACCCGGCGCCUCCUUGGAUCUUCGCAUCAGCGUUUUGGGGUGAGGGGAGCCGAGGUGAGAGAGCCCCAGUGACCUGCCCGUGUCCACCCAGCCCUAUAGGAACAGAAGCCGAACGGAAACCCGGCAGGUCUGGCGUCUCCGGGGCUGAACCUCUUUCGAGAAGAGCAUUUCCAUUUCCUGAUCAAUUUUCCUACGCUCGGAAUUUUCUGCAGGUCUGAAGUCCCUCUUUCUGAGUUGCGUGGAAGUUGACUUUUGCGAGCUUGCAUCGGUGGGUCCAAGCUCUGUGGAUCCCUGGCGCUGGGGAGGGUGAUCGUAGACUGAGCGCCCUCGGACGCCGGGUGCCGGAGUUCAGGGGUCUGCCCACCUUCGGUGACACCUGCGCAGCAUCCAGGGCCGCGUCCACUUCCCUCCGUGGUUUUAUUCAUCGUCUUAACCACAGCAAGGGAGAAGGGGACCUCACUGAGCCGUUCCUGGCGCACAGGGCUGCCCGGGAAGCUGCACUGUGUUCCUAGGGCGCCCAGGGCUGCGGACGCGCGGAGGCCGAAGAGGGAAAUCCUCACCAGGGAUCGUUCCAAACUCUGCUGCGGGGUGGCAGCUGCGGGCUUGUUAUACAAGGCAGAAGUCCAUCCUUUCAUAUGAAAGCAGAGUGCCUUGCAGUUUUGCGAAUCUAUUACCAACUCGUAAUAAUAUUAUCGAGUGAGUCUUGAUAAGGUCUCUGUUUCUCCCUUCUGUUGAAUCUGUCUUCUUGGUCUUUCGUUCUGUCAGUUCUCAUACUUUUUGGUCUCAUAGUAAAACACUUGUGUGGGUUAACAGAAAUAUUAAUAAAAUGCAAGAAUACUCAAGCACACAUGCCAUUGACUGUCGAAGGGUGAUGUUAUCUAGAGACUUGUAGCCUCUAGAAAAUUCUGUUUGUACACUUGUGAGAGAAUGAAAGAGGAAAAUAUCUUUGUAUUAUUAUGAAAAUAGCUCUGAUCUUACAGACUGCUUGAAAGGGACUUGGGGACAUUCACAAGUCCCUGGACCACACUUUGAGAAUCAAUGUUCUAUUCUGUGGGCAAACUGCCUUGUCCUGUGUGGAGGUCAGAAGGUCAGUCACUGGCAGGGCUGUCUGCUUGACCUGCAGGCUGUAGAGGGCACUGUGGGUGGGUCCCCCAGGGGGUUGAGGUGUUGAGAUUGUAGAGUGAGGCUCUGGAAUCCAGCCUCCCAUCCGGUGUGGCAGCUUCCUGUAGCUUUCUGGAAGGACUGUGGCUUGAUAGCUGGCUUGGUUUUCAACUUUCGUUAAUCAUUAGAGAGGUCUUCUGAGCCGAAGUCCGCCACAGACAAGGCAGGCUUUACCCAGAGCAACACACAGGUUGAGUCUGUUCCUUAUCAACACUCAAACACAAUUCUGGAGUGUUCUACCAUUUCUGCUAGCAUCCUUUCAGAUUUGCUGUUUCUUCACCCAGAUAUCCACAUGCUUGCUCCCAUACUUCCAUCUAGGCUUUGCUCAAAUUCUCUCUAUGAGACCCUUCCCGAUUACCUAUUAAAGAUUAUGUCACCCCCCAAUUCCCCGGCCACCCCGCCCUCCUCUCUGCUUUUCCGACUUUAUUUUCCUGUGUAGCACUUAACCACCAUCUGGUAAAAAUGUUUGUUUAUUGUCCCCCCCCCACGCCCCAAUCUUCAUAAGUGUAGGAAUUUUUGUUUGCUGCUGCAUCCCCAGUGCGUACAAGAGUGCCUGGCCAUAGUAGAUGCUAAAUAAAUAUUUGUCGAAUGAAGAGGGCAAACUAAAGCCAACUUACUUUAAUAUCAUUCCAGCUGAUCUGCUGAAGGGUCCUCUUGGAAAAGAGCAGUUAUCUCAGGUCCAGGAGCUGGAUGGGAAGAGCUGAGGGGGCCCGUGGCUUAGGGGUUUAGCCCACAUGACACAAGCUGUCAUUGUGCUACUUUGUUUCAUUGUAUGGAUUACACGUGUGUUAAAAUCUCCAGUGAGGUGAUUCAGUCCGCAGAACUUCGUGUGUCUCUGUCAUCCAGGGACAUGUCUUUUUCUUUUAAAAGAAACCUGUUCAUGGUGUUAAGUUUUUUUUUUCCUUUGAAAUCAUCAGAAUGUUAAGAUACAUGGCUCCCUCUAGUAGCAUGUAGGGGCCACAAUUACAGUGAAAGGGGGGUGGUAGAGCCAUUUUGGUUUUCUUUUAUGGAGACAAAUAGCCCUUCCCCUGAGGGUGUCGGUGUGAGACAGGGGCAGCUGCACCCCUAAGAUCAGUGCAGCAGCCUAGGGGCUCACCUGUGGGCAAAGGCAAGGUAAGAGCUCCCUGAUCAGAAGCCCUGAAGACUCCCCUUUCAGAAGGGCCAGGUGGAGAGGUGUCAGUAGCCAGAGUGGGAGACAGGGUACCCUCCUGGGUCAGAACAGAACUCCAUGUAUUGAAGAAGCUCCACAAGAUAAGGAUCAUUUCUUUAAAACCACUUUAAAACCCCUGGCUUAAAAAAAAAAA